UAAAAACCCCGACUUCGGAAGGGGUGUAUUUAUUAGAUACAAAACCAAUGCCCUUCGGGGCUCUUUGGUGAUUCAUGAUAACUAUACGAAUCGCACGGCCUUGCGCCGGCGAUGGUUCAUUCAAAUUUCUUCCCUAUCAACUUUCGAUGUUUGGGUAUUGGCCAAACAUGGUUGCAACGGGUAACGGAGGGUUAGGGCUCGACCCCGGAGAAGGAGCCUGAGAAACGGCUACUACAUCCAAGGAAGGCAGCAGGCGCGCAAAUUACCCAAUCCCGACUCGGGGAGGUAGUGACAAUAAAUACUGAUACAGGGCCCUUUCGGGCCUUGUAAUUGGAAUGAGUACAAUUUAAAUCCCUUAACGAGGAACAAUUGGAGGGCAAGUCUGGUGCCAGCAGCCGCGGUAAUUCCAGCUCCAAUAGCGAAUAUUAAAGUUGUUGUGGUUAAAAAGCUCGUAGUUGAACCUUGGGCCUGGCUGGCCGGUCCGCCUCACCGCGUGCACUGGUCCGGCCGGGCCUUUCCCUCUGUGGAACCCCAUACCCUUCACUGGGCGUGGCGGGGAAACAGGACAUUUACUUU
rnacentral:rRNA from 1 species